rnacentral:lncRNA from 1 species
NNNNNNNCAGCUCCCUCAGCCUCUCCCAGGAACUCCCUCAUUCCCAUUCCCACCAAAUCCCUGUUUGCCCCAAAUUCCAGGGGAAUAUUCCCAAAAAUCCCAAUUUGAGCCCAUUCCCUCCUUCCCCAUCUCUUUUUCCCUCAGAACAGAUCCCAAACUCCCCCUGGGUCCCCUCAAUCCCAGUUUUUCCUGGGACAAUCUCCCCCAGCUCCCUCAGCCUCUCCCAGGAACUCCCUCAUUCCCAUUCCCACCAAAUCCCUGUUUGCCCCAAUUUCCAGGAGAAUAUUCCCAAAAAUCCCAAUUUGCGCCCAUUCCCUCUUUCCCCAUCCCUGUUUCCCUCAGAGCAGAUCCCAAAUUCCCCCUGGAUCCCUUCAAUCCCACUUUUCUCCAGGAACAGCCCCCCCACUCCUGGGAACUCUGGGAACUCCUGGGAAUUCCCCAAAUUCCAGGGGAAUAUUCCCAAAAAUCCCAACUUGAGCCCAUUGCCUCCUUUUCCCCUCAGAGCAGAUCCCAAACUCCCCCUGGAUCCCUUCCAUCCCACUUUUCUCUGGGACAGUCCCCCCCAGCUCCCUCCCAGGGCUCCAUAUCCCACUUUUCCCAGCUCCAUAUCCCGCUUUUCCCAGCUCUGUAUCCCGCUUUUCCCAGCUCCAUAUCCCGCUUUUCCCAGCUCCCUAUCCCGCUUUUCCCAGGGCUCCAUAUCCCGUUUUCCCAGCUCCAUAUCCCGCCUUUCCCAGCUCCUUAUCCCAUUUUCCCACCUCCGUAUCCUGUUUUCCCAGCUCCAUAUCCCGCUUUUCCCAGCUCCAUAUCCCGUUUUCCCAGCUCCAUAUCCCGCUUUUCCCAGCUCCAUAUCCCGCUUUUCCCAGCUCCGUAUCCCGCUUUUCCCAGCUCCAUAUCCCGCUUUUCCCAGCUCCAUAUCCUGCUUUUCCCAACUCCAUAUCCCGCUUUUCCCAGCUCUGUAUCCCGUUUUCCCGGCUCCAUAUCCCGCCCUUCCCAGCUCCCUAUCCCGCUUUUCCCAGCUCCAUAUCCCGUUUUCCCAUAUCCCGCUUUUCCCAGCUCCAUAUCCCUUUUUCCCAACUCCAUAUCCCACUUCUCCCAGCUCCAUAUCCCGCUUUUCCCGGCUCCAUAUCCCGUUUUCCUGGCUCCAUAUCCCACUUCUCCCAACUCCAUAUCCCGUUUUUCCCAGCUCCGUAUCCCGCUUUCCCAUAUCCCGCUUCUCCCAGCUCCCUAUCCCACUUCUCCCAGCUCCAUAUCCCGCUUCUCCCGGCUCCAUAUCCCGCUUUUCCCAGCUCCAUAUCCCAUUUUCCCAGCUCCCUAUCCCGCUUUUCCCAGCUCCCUAUCCCGCUUUUCCCAGCUCCCUAUCCCGCUUUUCCCAGCUCCAUAUCCCAUUUUCCCAGCUCCUCAUCCCUCUUUUCCCAGCUCCAUAUCCCGCCUUUCCCAGCUCCAUAUCCCAUUUUCCCGGCUCCCUAUCCCGCUUUUCCCAGCUCCCUAUCCCGCUUUUCCCAGCUCCAUAUCCCGCUUUCCCAGCUCCUCAUCCCUCUUUUCCCAGCUCCCUAUCCCGCUUUUCCCAGCUCCAUAUCCCGUUUUCCCGGCUCCAUAUCCCGCUUUCCCGGCUCCCUAUCCCGCUUUUCCCAGCUCCAUAUCCCGCUUUUCCCAGCUCCAUAUCCCGCUUUUCCCAGCUCCAUAUCCCGCCUUUCCCGGCUCCCUAUCCCGUUUUUCCCAGCUCCAUAUCCUGCUUUUCCCAGCUCCAUAUCCGCCUUUCCCAACUCCAUAUCCCGCUUUUCCGGCUCCAUAUCCCGCUUUUCCCAGCUCCCUAUCCCGUUUUCCCAGCUCCAUAUCCCACUUUUCCCGGCUCCAUAUCCCGCUUUUCCCAGCUCCAUAUCCCGCUUUUCCCAGCUCCGUCUCCCGCUUUUCCCAACUCCCUAUCCCGCUUUUCCUGGCUCCAUAUCCCGCUUUUCCCAACUCUGUAUGCCGUUUUCCCAUAUCCCGCUUUCCCAGCUCCAUAUCCCAUUUUCCCAGCUCCAUAUCCCGCUUUUCCCAGCUCCAUAUCCCGCUUUUCCCGGCUCCAUAUCCCGCUUUCCCAGCUCCGUAUCCCNCAGCUCCCUCAGCCUCUCCCAGGAACUCCCUCAUUCCCAUUCCCACCAAAUCCCUGUUUGCCCCAAAUUCCAGGGGAAUAUUCCCAAAAAUCCCAACUUGAGCCCAUUGCCCCCUUUUCCCCUCAGAGCAGAUCCCAAAUUCCCCCUGGAUCCCCUCAAUCCCAGUUUUUCCUGGGACAAUCUCCUCCAGCUCCCUCAGCCUCUCCCAGGAAUUCCCUCAUUCCCAUUCCCACCAAAUCCCUGUUUGUCCCAAAUUCCAGGGGAAUAUUCCCAAAAAUCCCAUCUUGAAGCCAUUCCCUCUUUCCCCAUUCUUUUUCCCCUCAGAGCAGAUCCCAAAUUCCCUCUGGAUCCCCUCAAUCCCAGUUUUUCUUGGGACAAUCCCCCCCAGCUCCCUCAGCCUCUCCCAGGAACUCCCCCAUUCCCAUUCCCACCAAAUCCCUGUUUGCCCAAAAUUCCAGGGGAAUAUUCCCAAAAAUCCCAAUUUGAGCCCAUUCCCUCUUUCCCCAUCCCUUUUUCCCUGGUAGCAGAUCCCAAACUCCACCUGGAUCCCCUCAAUCCCUGUUUUUUCCAGGACAAUCCCCCCCAGCUCCCUCAGCCUCUCCUGGGAAUUCUCCUAUUCCCAUUCCCACCAAAUCCCUGUUUGCCCCAAAUUCCAGAGGAAUAUUCCCAAAAAUUGCAGUUUGAGCCCAUUCCCUCUUUCCUCAUUCUAUUUCCCCUCAGAGCAGAUCCCAAAUUCCCCCUGGAUCCCCUCAAUCCCAGUUUUCUCUGGAAUGAGCCCCAACAGCUCCCUCAGCCUCUCCCAGGAAUUCCCCUAUUCCCAUUCCCACCAAAUCCCUGUUUGCCCCAAAUUCCACAGGAAUAUUCCCAAAAAUCCCAAUUUGCGCCCAUUCCCUCUUUACCCUCAGAGUAGAUCCCAAAUUCCCCCUGGAUCCCCUCAAUCCCAGUUUUCUCUGGAAUGAUCCCCAACAGCUCCCUCAGCCUCUCCUGGGAACUCCCUCAUUCCCAUUCCCACCAAAUCCCUGUUUGCCCCAAAUUCCAGAGGAAUAUUCCCAAAAAUCCCAUCUUGAGCCCAUUCCCUCUUUCCCCUCAGAGCAGAUCCCAAACUCCCCCUGGGUCCCCUCAAUCCCUGUUUUUCCUGGGACAAUCACCCCCAGCUCCCUCAGCCUCUCCCAGGAACUCCCUCAUUCCCAUUCCCACCAAAUCCCUGUUUGCCCCAAAU